rnacentral:tRNA from 1 species
UAGGCUAAAGUCCGCUGGCUUGGGUGUUUAGUUGUUAACUAAGGUUUUACGGGAUCGAGGCCCGUUAGUCUAUU